rnacentral:rRNA from 1 species
UUUUUUCCUUUAAAAUUUUUUGUUUAGUUUUUAAAAUAUUUAUUUAAAUUAAAAUUUAGUUCAAUUUUGAAUAGUUAAAAAGCAAUAUUAUUGUUAAAUAUAAAACUGGUCACUGUUAUUGUUAGCUUUUUAAAGAAUAGGAAUUUGUAAUCUUUUUAGGUUUGUUAAGUUGUUAUAGAUUAUACAUUAAUAAUUAUUUUAUUUAAUUAAUGUUCAUUUUAAUGCUGAGGAAUUAGAAUUUAUUCACUAUCUAGAGUUAAAAAUUUUUGUCAUUUGAUUUUUAACUAUAUUAAUUUUUUGUUCAGUUUUGCGUAUUUUGUUUUCGUUUUUACUAAUUGGGUUUAACUACUCGUUAAAGGAAUGUUCAACGUUAGGUUUCCCUCAAUAAAACCUCUUAGAGUUGCUCAUGGAGAAAAUCACUUGAUUUUGAAAAAACACGGGCACCUAGUUGUAUAGAUGUCUACUUAGGGGUCGUUAAUGAUUAUAAUUUAAAGUAGGGCCUGCCCACUGAAUUUUGAAGGGCCGCAGUAUUUUGACUGUGCAAAGGUAGCAUAAUCAUUAGUUUUUUAAUUGAAAGCUUGUAUGAAUGGUUUGAUGAGAAAAUAACUGUCUCAAUUUUAAUAUUUUAGAAUUUUAUUUUUAAGUAAAAAAGCUUAAAUUUAUUUAAAAGACGAGAAGACCCUAUAGAGUUUGAUUUAAAAUGAUUUUAUAAAUUUUAGAAUUAAUUUUUUUUAAUUUUAUUUUAAAUUUGGUUGGGGUGACUAAAAAAUUAAUUAAACUUUUUUUUUAUUUUUACAUUAAUUUAUGAAUUUUUGAUCCAUUUAAAUGAUUAAAAGAUUAAAUUACCUUAGGGAUAACAGCGUAAUUUUUUUUGAGAGUUCUUAUUGAAAGAAGAGAUUGCGACCUCGAUGUUGGAUUAAAAUAAAUUUUUGGUGUAGAAGCUAGAAAAUUAGGUCUGUUCGACCUUUGAAAUUUUACAUGAUCUGAGUUUAAACCGGUGUGAGCCAGGUUGGUUUCUAUCUUUAAAAAAUUUAAAUAUUUUAGUACGAAAGGAUCAANCUAGAAAAUUAGGUCUGUUCGACCUUUAAAAUUUUACAUGAUCUGAGUUUAAACCGGUGUGAGCCAGGUUGGUUUCU